GGGGGAUUAGCUCAGCUGGGAGAGCAGCUGCUUUGCAAGCAGGGGGUCGUCGGUUCGAUCCCGUCAUCCUCCA
rnacentral:tRNA from 1 species